UGGACAACUCAUCAUUUAUUUAACUUUGACCACGGAAUAAAUAAUAGCACAAGUACAGCAAUUUCAUGGCCAUAAUAUCAACUUGACCGAUACCCUGAGCGCGGAGUGAGACGUGCUGCACGAACAAUUUAUUAUCCGCGAAGCGCGUAGGCACAUUCAAAAUACGCGCCCGGCUCCGGCUCGCUUUUAAACCCUACCCUGUUAAAUAUAUAUCCUACAUAUUGAUAGCUGAAAUUAUAUGGAUGAUAAAGGU